rnacentral:rRNA from 1 species
GAUGGCGACCGGCGCACGGGUGAGUAACACGUAUCCAACCUGCCGAUGACUCGGGGAUAGCCUUUCGAAAGAAAGAUUAAUACCCGAUGGCAUAGUUCUUCCGCAUGGUGGAACUAUUAAAGAAUUUCGGUCAUCGAUGGGGAUGCGUUCCAUUAGGUUGUUGGCGGGGUAACGGCCCACCAAGCCUUCGAUGGAUAGGGGUCCUGAGAGGAAGGUCCCCCACAUUGGAACUGAGACACGGUCCAAACUCCUACGGGAGGCAGCAUG